AACGAACGCUGGCGGCAGGCUUAACACAUGCAAGUCGAACGCACCUUUCGGGGUGAGUGGCAGACGGGUGAGUAACGCGUGGGAAUCUACCCUUCUCUACGGGAUAGCUCCGGGAAACUGGAAUUAAUACCGUAUACGUCCUGAGGGAGAAAGAUUUAUCGGGGAAGGAUGAGCCCGCGUUGGAUUAGCUAGUUGGUGGGGUAAAGGCCUACCAAGGCGACGAUCCAUAGCUGGUCUAAGAGGAUGAUCAGCCACAUUGGGACUGAGACACGGCCCAAACUCCUACGGGAGGCAGCAGUGGGGAAUAUUGGACAAUGGGCGCAAGCCUGAUCCAGCCAUGCCGCGUGAGUGAUGAAGGCCCUAGGGUUGUAAAGCUCUUUCAGUGGGGACGAUAAUGACGGUACCCACAGAAGAAGCCCCGGCUAACUUCGUGCCAGCAGCCGCAGUAA
rnacentral:rRNA from 1 species